GGAGAUGGGUGUUGAUGAGGACAACAUAGACAUAUAUAGGUCUAUGGAGGACAUGGUCAGUCCUGCCGGCCCAACUGACCAGCAGGUCUCCACCACAGGGACACUCCUCGCCACAGGAGCCUCCUCUGUGUUUGUAGAUAGGACAGCAACACAGACACAGAAUCACAGCGAUUAACCCAAAAAUGCUACAUACCCUGAGGGUAUUCCCACAUAUGCAACGGCCAUAACUGAGCAACCUUUGAAAGAUACAUCAGCACCCAAUACAUCACAGCAUCUUGGACAUCAGCCCAUUGGAGAUACAUCAGCACCCUAUACAUGACAGCAUCUUGGAGAUCAGCCCAUUGGAGAUACAGGGGGUCAGACGCAAAUGCAACAAUUCCAGGCUCCAGGACCGGCAGGAAAUCUGAUGGGGUUUCCAGGAGGAUGGCGUGAUGGGGCUAAAGGCCCGACGUCACAGCAGAAGCUCUCACGCCUGAGGUCCCAAGACCAGGAUGAAACGAAACCAUCAGAGGAUGAGAUGCAAAACCAGCAGCCGUCUAAACCCCAGGAUGUUGCAGCAGUCCUUGUGGAAAUAGAAGGGGAAGGAAAAGAACAGCCACCAAAAUGGGCGAAAAUGGUUAGGAAGGCCCUGCAGACAUUCUUCAACAGAGACUUUAAGGGGAUUGAGGUCUGCAAUCUAGAUAUUUUGGACGCUCCAUUUUCAGCCAAGAUUAUAAUAAGCCCUUCAUCAGCCUGUGAAAAGCUGUUGAACAUGAAGUCAGCACCACUGAAUUUCAAGGAUAGAGAUGAAAAAGCCACUGUGCACUUCAGAACCACAGUGCCAAUAGAUGAGCCUCCAGUGUCAGCACCCAUACACAAAUAUGGAAGUUCUGUGCAAAAAACACAAGAGAUCCCAAUGACCGUGAGUGCUGUUGUGGAUGUCCGGAAGUUUGAAAUUCAGCUUGAGAAGAAACUCCUGUGCAUAUUUGAACAACACAAAACAGGGAGUCAUACUCUCACAGUGAAUGGGACCUUUGAAGAAGUGGAAAUUUUUUACAAGGAAUUCAACCAAGUUAUUGGACAGCCAGUAACAAGAAAUACCAACACUGUGUUUAAACACACCAACCCCAACCAGAUGGAGACCAGUAGAGAGCCUAUGAGGGUGCCACUGUUUCAGUAUUGGUACUUGAAUCAGAUGCAAAGGAUGGAAAUAGAACGCAUUCAAGACAAACAUGGAGUGGCAAUCAAAGCUGAUGUGUGUGUUACAGUUGAGGAGAUCAGUGGAGCCACCAGCGAGUCAUGCACAGAUGCUACCAACGAAUUCAUCGACCUGUUCAGAAAAUGUGCCAGUAAUAUUGUGAAUGUUCCUGUGCCCAGUGCGGCGUUGGAGUUGGUUUAGCGUUUGGAUGACAAACUCAUGCUUACUGCAUCUGCCCAAAACUGCAUCCUGCUAGGACCACCUGAUAGUGUAGUUGCAGUGCAUAGACUGUUGAAUCAGCCGGCUAACAAGGAUGAUCCAAGAUCAGAGAGACCUGAGGUACAUUGGGACAAGGACCGAAACAAGAAUCCCCAUGGAGAAACUAGAUGGACUGGACCCGAAGCUAUUGAGAUGAACUGCAAACAGAAACCAUCAGAGGAUGAGCUGCAAAACCAGCAGCCGUCUAAACCCCAGGAUGUUGCAGCAGUCCUUGUGGAAAUAGAAUGGGAAGGAAAAGAACAGCCACCAAAAUGGGCGGAAAUGGUUAGGAAGACCCUGCAGACAUUCUUCAACAGAGACUUUGAGGGGAUUGAGGUUUGCAAUCUAGAUAUUUUGGAAGCUCCAUUUUUAGCCAAGAUUAUAAUAAGCCCUUCAUCAGCCUGUGAAACGCUGUUGAACAUGAAGUCAGCACCACUGAAAUUCAAGGAUAGAGAUGAAAAAGCCACUGUGCACUUCAGAACCACAGUGCCAAUAGAUGAGUCUCCAGUGUCAGUAGAUGAGGGUCCAGUGUCAGCAGAUGAGGGUCCCGUGUCAGUAGAUGAGCCUCCAGUGUCAGCAGAUGAGGGUCCAGUGUCAGUAGAUGAGGGUCCAGUGUCAGCAGAUGAGGGUCCAGUGUCAGUAGAUGAGGGUCCAGUGUCAGCAGAUGAGGGUCCAGUGUCAGUAGAUGAGGGUCCAGUGUCAGCAGAUGAGGGUCCAGUGUCAGUAGAUGAGCCUCCAGUGUCAGCAGAUGAGGGUCCAGUGCCAGUGUCAGCACCCAGCACCAGGAAUGGGACCUUUGAAGAGGUGGAAGAAUUCUACAAGGAAUUCCAGCAGGUUAUUGGACAGCCAGUAACAAGAAAUACCAAGACCAGUAGAGAGCCUAUGAGGAUGCCACUGUUUCAGUAUUGGUACUUGAAUCAGAUGCAAAGGAAGGGAAUAGAACGCAUUCAAGAGAAACAUGGAGUGACGAUCAAAGCUGAUGUGUGUGUUACAGUUGAGGAGACCAGUGGAGCCACCAGCGAGUCAUGCACAGAUGCUACUAACGAAUUCAUCGACCUUUUCAGAAAAUGUGCCAGUGAUAUUGUGAAUGUUCCUAUGCCCAGUGCGGCGUUGGAGUUAGUUCUGCGUUUGGAUGACAAACUUAUGCUUACUGCGUCUGCCCAAAACUGCAUCCUGCUAGGACCACCUGAUAGUGUAGCUGCAGCGCAGAGACUGUUGAAUCAGCCGACUAACAAGGAUGAUCCAAGAUCAGAGAGACCUGAGGUACAUUGGGACAAGGACCGAAACAAGAAUCCCCAUGGAGAACAUAGAUGGAAUAGACUCAAAGGCCCUGUAAGACCACCUGUUAAGCAGCCUGGACCAGUUCCACAAAUGCAAUAAAAAUCACGUCGUCGAAGGCAACGCAUAUAUUCACAAAAGUCAAAAUUCUAUACGUGUUUUGCUACUGAUGUUACCUUUCCUUGUAUUUUGUUAUACCGUACGUAUAUUCUGUCCUGUUUGUUAUGAUAAUGUAUCGUUUAUAAAUGUUGUGUGUCAAUAAAGACUGAGUUGGAUUGUG